GAUGAACGCUAGCGGCAGGCUUAAUACAUGCAAGUCGAGGGACAGCACAGGUGGCAAUACUGGGUGGUAACCGGCAAACGGGUGCGGAACACGUACACAACCUUCCUUUAAGUGGGGGAUAGCCCAGAGAAAUUUGGAUUAAUACCCCGUAAUAUAGUUGAAUGGCAUCAUUUGAUUAUUAUAGCUACGGCGCUUAAUGAUGGGUGUGCGGCUGAUUAGAUAGUUGGCGGGGUAACGGCCCACCAAGUCUACGAUCAGUAGCUGAUGUGAGAGCAUGAUCAGCCAACCGGGCACUGAGACACGGGCCCGACUCCUACGGGAGGCAGCAGUAAGGAAUAUUGGUCAAUGGACGCAAGUCUAAACCAGCCAUGCCGCGUGAAGGAUUAAGGUCCUCUGGAUUGUAAACUUCUUUUAUUUGGGACGAAAAAGGGCCUUUCUAGGUCAACUGACGGUACCAGAUGAAUAAGCACCGGCUAACUCCGUGCCAGCCGCCGCCGUAAAAC
rnacentral:rRNA from 1 species